rnacentral:lncRNA from 10 species
AAAAUGGACCGUGGAUUCCCCCGUAGCUCCCUGGUGGCUAGAAACUAGGCGGGGUGGGGGUUCUCUUUUGAUCCCCAAAUACAGCAAGCUUUGGUGUCCCAAGUAGCUGGGAUUACAGGCGCCCGCCACCAAGCCCAGGCUCAAAGAUUUGGAAAGAGACAGCUUAACAGAAAAGGAAUGUGUGAAGGAGAAAUUGAAUCUCUUGCACGAAUUUCUGCAAACAGAAAUAAAGAAUCAGUUAUGUGACUUGGAAACCAAAUUACGUAAAGAAGAAUUAUCCGAGGAGGGCUACCUGGCUAAAGUCAAAUCCCUUUUAAAUAAAGAUUUGUCCUUGGAGAACGGUGCUCAUGCUUACAACCGGGAAGUGAAUGGACGUCUAGAAAACGGGAACCAAGCAAGAAGUGAAGCCCGUAGAGUGGGAAUGGCAGAUGCCAACAGCCCCCCCAAACCCCUUUCCAAACCUCGCACGCCCAGGAGGAGCAAGUCCGAUGGAGAGGCUAAGCGUUCAAGAGACCCUCCUGCCUCAGCCUCCCAAGUAACUGGGAUUAGAGCUGAACCUUCACCUAGCCCCAGGAUUACAAGGAAAAGCACCAGGCAAACCACCAUCACAUCUCAUUUUGCAAAGGGCCCUGCCAAACGGAAACCUCAGGAAGAGUCUGAAAGAGCCAAAUCGGAUGAGUCCA